UGUGAGAGUACGGGCAGUGACAUUGAAUCCAUUUUGAAGUUGGGGUUGGAACCGGUUCAGGGAACAGAACAGAAAAAAUAACUACAUUUUUGAGGAACAGAAUCAGAACUGGGAACGAAGGUGAUCUAUACAGUUCCGGAACAGAACCAUUAUUUUAAAAGCUUGGGAAACGGUUAAUCAUGUUAUUUUAGUCCCUGGCAUGUUUUUUUCAGUCCCACAAAAAACGCAACAAAGUACCUAUACAAAGCCCUGACUCUGUCACUCAGAAACAUAUUCCAGUGCCUGUCUGUCAGAUGGAAAUAUUUUAUAGUCUGUUUAUGCUACCUGCCUCACCCCCUGCGAAGGAUAGGUUACUGUAUCCUACUGGCGAAGUUACAAGCGUGAUUCAGAAAUUAGGGAGAGAUUUUUAAUUAGAGAAUAAUUUAUUAACUUUUUCACUGCUAGUUAAGGAUACUAUAGUUAUCACAUUUCACAUUUGAUUUAUUAACUACAAAAAGGUAAGAUGUAUAUUUUAUUCUGGUGCUGCUCUGCACACACAAGCUUGUUAGCUAGCUAGCUAUCUUGCUAACAAUAGCUCUAGUCCAUUGUUAAGGCAACUCUCAGAAGUUCAAAGACAUUCAAAGUUACUUCAUAGAAGCCGCUCAUCUGUAGAUAUAAUUCUGUGGGCCUAAUUCAGAUAAUGCAUAGCAUAACAAGAUUCUUAGUGCUUCAAGCCAAGCCUCAUCCUCCCUCUCUUGCUCUCUCCCCACCCACAAAAUGUAAGUCUCAUCUUGCUCUGUACACUUUUCUGUCUAUCACACAUAUAAACCACUAGGCUAUUGCUUGCCAACUCCAUAGUAAGCUGCUCUAUCAGCACUGAUUAGUGGUUAUUUAAUGUUGAGCUAAAUGUAAAAAAAUAUAUAUAAAAAAUCUUAGGUUUAAAAAGGAAUAGAAAGGAACGACAUAAACAGGUACUUUUUGGGGGGGCUCUAAACGGUUCAGAACCGUUUUUUUUGCUAGGUUGAAAAAAAUAUGGUUCUGUUCAGAAUGUAAAAAUUGACAAUAAUUUUGGUUCCAACCCCUGUUUUGAAGUAGUCAAUAAUCUUCUUAUUUUACUACUUCUUAUGAGAUGGCAAAGAAACUGAAAAGGUGCACACAGUCCUGGAGUGUGUUGUUUGAACAGGUAUAAAGCCAAGGUUGGCGAUUUAGUGCCACCUGCAGUUAUGGAGUGUUUGUGCACGAGUAUAGUUCAUUGGCUGAUACCUACUGGUGACCUGGAUGAAGAAGUCUCAACCCAGUUGACUACUUCAAAAUGGUGAAAGUCAUCAUGCUAAAACAGGGGUUUGGGCACUAGAGUUCUCUAUCUAUCUCUAUGCUACAGACAGACACACAGAUAAUUAUAUUUUAUCAAAUCAAUUGUUACUCUGUUACAAAAAGCUUUCAUUCCAAAGAUAAUGUCAAAUAAACAGUUAAAAACAACGCAUACAACUCGUUGCAUGCUUCUGAUCCAUGUUCUCAUUUUCUUAUUGGAAUAGCAUAAACUUUUUUUUAUUUUUAUUCACUAUACGGCGGCAGGGUAGCCUAGUGGUUAGAGAGUUGGACUAGUAACUGGAAGGUUGCAAGUUCAAACCCCCCGAGCUGACAAGGUACAAAUCUGUCGUUCUGCCCCUGAACAGGCAGUUAACCCACUGUUCCUAGGCCGUCAUUGAAAAUAAGAAUUUGUUCUUAACUGACUUGCCUAGUUAAAUAAAGGAAAAAAUAAAUAAAUACAAAAUUAUCAACAAUCUUGUUGAUAGUGCUGUUAAGAAGGUACAAUUAAACAUGUCUAGCAAAAUGAAACAAGGGUAUAAAUAAGAAAAUACAGAAUACCUCUCAUAAAUACAAGUAGUGAUGAAGUCAAUCUCUCCUCCACUUUCAGCCAGGUUGACAUUAAUAUUAGCUCUCUGUGUACAUCAAAGGGCCAGCCGUGCUGCCCUGUUCUGAGACAAUUGCAAUUUUCCUAAGUCCUUUUUUGUGGCACCUGACCACACGACUGAACAGUAGUCAAGGUGCGACAAAACUGGGGCCUGUAGGACCUGCCUUGUUGAUAGUGCUGUUAAGAAGGUAGAAGGUUUAGGGUUUAGUGAAUGAUUUUUCCCAAAUACAAUGCUUUUAGUUUCAGAAAUAUUUAGGUCUAACUUAUUCCUUGCCACUCACUCUGAAACUAACUGCAACUCUUUGUUAAGUGUUGCAGUCAUUUCAGUCGCUGUAGUAGCUGACAUGUAUAGUUUUGAGUCAUUCGCAUACAUAGACACUCUCGCUUUUUAUCAAAGCCAGUGGCAUGUCAUUAGUAAAUAGUGAAAAAGUAAUGAGCCUAGACAGCUGCCCUGGGGAAUUCCUGAUUCUGGAGAGGAGAGGCUUGGAGAGGCUUCCAUUAAAGAACACCUUCUGUGUUCUGUUGGACAGGUAACUCUUUAUCCACGAUAUAGGAGGGGGUGUAAAGCCAUAACACACGUUUUUUCAGCUGCAGACUAUGAACGAUAAUGUCAAAAGCCGCACUGAAGUCUAACAAAACAGCUCCCACAAUCUUUUAUCAUCAAUUUAUCCCAGCCAAUCAUCAGUCAUUUGUGUAAGCGCUGUGCUUGUUGAAUGUCCUUCCCCUAUAAGCAAGCUGAAAGUCUGUUGUCAAUUUGUUUAUUUUAAAAUAGCAUUGUAUCUGGUCAAACACAAUUUUUUCCCAAAAAGUUUAUUAAGGGUUGGUAACAGGCUGAUUGGUCAACUAUUUGAGCCAGUAAAGGGGCUUUACCAUUCUUAGGUAGCGGAAUGACUUUUGCUUCCCUCCAAGCCUGAGGGCAAACACAUUCUAGUGGCUUAAAUUGACGUCAUGACUUGACCUUGUUUUUUUCCGAGUCCCUGUUGUCUUGAAAGCACCAUCAUUACUACUACUUAACCAGAGUUGGAUGACCACUCAAAACGAUUUUUCCCAGUCUGAGCUCAUUUCUUUUCAAGUUCCCAUUUGUCUUGAAAGCACUGAAGUCGGGAAGUCGUAGAUUUCCGAGUUUCCAAUUCCCAGUAGUUUUGAAUGUGGCAUUAGAUGGGAGUUUCUGACUGGUCUUGGAACUGUGACAACAGGCAGCCUCUCCCCGCUUUGCUCAAUGAGAUAUAUAGUGAUUCUACCCUCAACUGACUAUUGUAUAUGUUGAUUAAAUCAGACUUUAAUAAUAUAAUGAGUAAUUCAGGAAUGUCACGACUUAAGUGACACAAGAAAACUAGUUAAAAUAGCAACUCUACAGAUCGCAAUCUUCUUCUUCUUCUGUGGAGUUUAACAGGGGUUGGCAUCCAACAAGUUGCAUUAUGUCCCCAACUGAACUAUAGUAUCAGUUCAUUACACUUUGUGAUACAAAAUGGGGAAAUGGGAAAAUGUUUAAAUAUAAUUUUAAUUACCCUACCAACUAACUCUACACUUAAAACUGGUCUGCUAAUGCAGGACGAUUAGGCCCGGUGCUUUUGUGAUUUUUUUUGUUAAAUUUAUAUAUAUUUUUUAUUCCGAUUUUUCAGAGGUUGCUGCAGCACCCUCAGAACCCCUACUUCCCACGGCUAUGCCCUAAUUCUAUUACUUUAACCCGAUCUGAUCCUACCCCAGGCCAACGACCUGAGAGGACGGGACACUACCACUCAACACACCCUCUAACUCUUCUGAAGUCAAAUAUCGUACCCCCAGAUCUACUAUUCACAGGAAUCCUCUCAGAAUCCCUCACCCUUCAUCCAACCUACACUACUUUCUUCACUGCCUCAGCAUACAACAUCUUCUGCUCUACUCUGACCCUGGCCACCUCAACCUGCCUCUCUCGCACCGGACACCUCUGAUCCCAGCAACAUGGACACCCUUACAGUUGACAAAUCAAAUCGAAUUGUAUUGGUCACAUACACAUGUUUAGCAGAUGUUAUUGCGAGUGUAGCGAAAUGCUUGUGCUUCUAGUUCCGACAGUGCAGCAAUAUCUAACAUGUAAUCUAACAAUUCCGCAACAAAUACCUAAUACACACAAAUCUAAGUAAGGAACGUAUUCAUAUAAAUAUAUGGAUGAGCAAUGACAGAGUGGCAUAGGCAAUCUGCAAAAUAUGGUAUAAAAUACAGUAUAUACAUAUGAGAUGAGUAAUGCAAGAUAUUUAAACAUUAUUAGCCCGACCAACCAGUGCCUCCGCACAUUGGCUAACCGGGCUAUCGGCAUUGUGUCCCGCCACCCGCCAAACCCUCUUUUAUGCUACUGCUACUCUCUGUUUAUCAUAUAUGCAUAGUCACUUUAACCAUAUCUACAUGUACAUACUACCUCAAUCAGCCUGACUAAACAGUGUCUGUAUGUAGCCUCGUUACUGUUAUAGCCUUGCUACUGUAUACAGCCUCGCUACUGUUAUUUUUCACUGUCUUCCUACCUAUCUCUCUGAUUUGGUCCUGCCGUAAAUACCUACACGUACGCUACGGUCACAAGACGUAGGCCUCCUAAUUGUCCCUAGAAUUUCUAAGCAAACAGCUGGAGGCAGGGCUUUCUCCUAUAGAGCUCCAUUUCUAUGGAACGGUCUGCCUACCCAUGUCAGAGACGCAAACUCGGUCUCAACCUUUAAGUCUUUACUGAAGACUCAUCUCUUCAGUGGGUCAUAUGAUUGAGUGUAGUCUGGCCCAGGAGUGGGAAGGUGAACGGAAAGGCUCUGGAGCAACGAACCCGCCCUUGCUGUCUCUGCCUGUCCGGUUCCCCUCUUUCCACUGGGAUUCUCUGCCUCUAACCCUAUUACAGUGGCUGAGUCACUGGCUUACUGGGGCUCUCUCAUGCUGUCCCUGGAAGGGGUGCGUCACCUGAGUGGGUUGAUUCACUGAUGUGGUCAUCCUGUCUGGGUUGGCGCCCCCCCUUGGGUUGUGCCAUGGCGGAGAUCUUUGUGGGCUAUACUCAGCCUUGUCUCAGGAUGGUAAGUUGGUGGUUGAAGAUAUCCCUCUAGUGGUGUGGGGGCUGUGCUUUGGCAAAGUGGGUGGGGUUAUAUCCUUCCUGUUUGGCCCUGUCCGGGGGUGUCCUCGGAUGGGGCCACAGUGUCUCCUGACCCCUCCUGUCUCAGCCUCCAGUAUUUAUGCUGCAGUAGUUUAUGUGUCGGGGGGCUAGGGUCAGUUUGUUAUAUCUGGAGUACUUCUCCUGUCCUAUUCGGUGUCCUGUGUGAAUCUAAGUGUGCGUUCUCUAAUUCUCUCCUUCUCUCUUUCUUUCUCUCUCUCGGAGGACCUGAGCCCUAGGACCAUGCCCCAGGACUACCUGACAUGAUGACUCCUUGCUGUCCUCAGUCCACCUGGCCGUGCUGCUGCUCCAGUUUCAACUGUUCUGCCUUAUUAUUAAUCGACCAUGCUGGUCAUUUAUGAACAUUUUAACAUCUUGGCCAUGUUCUGUUAUAAUCUCCACCCGGCACAGCCAGAAGAGGACUGGCCACCCCAGCUGUACAUAAUCUAUUGAGGACCUGAGCCCUAGGACCAUGCCCCAGGACUACCUGACAUGAUGACUCCUUGCUGUCCCCAGUCCACCUGACCAUGCUGCUGCUCCAGUUUCAACUGUUCUGCCUUAUUAUUAUACGACCAUGCUGGUCAUUUAUGAACAUUUGAACAUCUUGGCCAUGUUCUGUUAUAAUCUCCACCCGGCACAGCCAGAAGAGGACUGGCCACCCCACAUAGCCUGGUUCCUCUCUAGGUUUCUUCCUAGGUUUUGGCCUUUCUAGGGAGUUUUUCCUAGCCACCGUGCUUCUACACCUGCAUUGCUUGCUGUUUGGGGUUUUAGACUGGGUUUCUGUACAGCACUUUGAGAUAUCAGCUGAUGUACGAAGGGCUAUAUAAAUACAUUUGAUUUGAUUUGAUUUGUUGUUUUUAUUUCUUUACUUACCUAUUGUUCACCUAAUACCUUUAUUUUAUUUUAUUUUUUAAAUUGCACUGUUGGUAAGUAAGCACUUCACUGUAAGGUCUACACCUGUUGUAUUCGGCGCACAUGACAAAUACACUUUGAUUGUUGAAGUUCCAGUGAUCCAUUUAUAACUUUUCCCACCAAAACGACACAUUCCUCAGUCCCAUAUCCUCCUGCACACUUCCCACAUCUUAGAAUCUCCCUCCUACACACUGCUGUGACAUGCCCAUAAAUCUGGCACCUAUAACACGGCAGUGUAUUCGGCACAAAAGCUCUAACAGCAUAACUCCCCACAGAAUGUGCAUCGCAGCAAAUGGCGGGCAUCACAAACACCAGGAAUCUUCAACUUAAAUUGAUCGCCCCUCACACUUAACACUACCCCAGAAAUCACUCCCUUCAAUGGUGCCAUGUACUGAAACACAAAGCAAGAUACAGGUCUUUCCCCAAGUUACGUCACAUGGAGCACCUGCUCCCUCUAAUCUGAAGAAACACCAACAAACAUCACAAAAGGCCUGGUCCCACCCUCUUCAAAACUCCCACUCCCACUGGACCAAACAUAUCUUUAUCAUGACCAUGACCAUCGAUGCAAGGCUCGGGCACCAAGUUCCUCACAACACCUUCUACCCCUUCCAUUUCAUCUCCAGAGCUCGAACUGGGGUCCGGCUCACUCUGUUUAAACCUGACACCAAUCUUCCUCAAUAUACCCACCCUCUCCCUUGUUAUUUCUAGCUUCAACAGAUUGAAACCUAUCCUCUGCCUCACUCAAUCUUUUCAACCUCCAAUCCACCUCUAACCAAUUACCCAACUCCUGAAAAUAUUCAACUUUUCCAUGCCAAAAUCCAUUUUUAGCCUCCUCGAGAGACAUGCUAGACCAUGUACUCCCUCCACUUUUAUUUUUAUUUAACCUUUUUUAACUAGACAAGUCAGUUAAGAACAAAUUAUUAUUUACAAUGACGGCCUACCCUGGCCAAACCCUAACCCAGACGACGCUGGGCCAAUUGUGCGCUGCCCUAUGGGACUCCCAAUCACGGCCGUUGUGAUACAGCUUGGAAUCGAACCAGGGUCUGUAGUGACACCUCUAGCAUUGAGAUGCAGUGCCUUAGACCGCUACGCCACUCUCAGUUUGACGUUCCAAACCAUCUAAAGAUUGCCAUCACUACAAUGAAUGGCUAAAUUACUUCAGGACACGAAGGGUCCACAGAACGUCUCCUGACCGCUCUAUCACAUAUCAAUCAAUCAAUGUUACAAAGUGCUUAUAUAACCACAAAGAGCAAGCAAUGCAGAUGUACUUUGACCAAAGACAGUACAGUAUAAAGAUAGACAAAAACUGCUUUUCCAAUAGAAAUCCCAGAUCACACUUGUAUGCGAUGUCAUGGCGACGUUGGCUAGCUAAUCUCAUGUGCAGAAACAUGUCAUCGGGUCAACAGUAACUGUUAUCUCGCUCCAAACUGUGCAUGUGCAGGCCGCCAAAUCAAAGAAACUCCUUAGAUAAAAAGUUGAU